rnacentral:rRNA from 1 species
AACGAACGCUGGCGGCAUGCCUAACACAUGCAAGUCGAACGAUCCCUUCGGGGAUAGUGGCGCACGGGUGCGUAACGCGUGGGAACCUGCCCUUAGGUUCGGAAUAACUCAGAGAAAUUUGAGCUAAUACCGGAUAAUGUCUUCGGACCAAAGAUUUAUCGCCUUUGGAUGGGCCCGCGUUGGAUUAGCUAGUUGGUGGGGUAAAGGCCUACCAAGGCGACGAUCCAUAGCUGGUCUGAGAGGAUGAUCAGCCACACUGGGACUGAGACACGGCCCAGACUCCUACGGGAGGCAGCAGUGGGGAAUAUUGGACAAUGGGCGAAAGCCUGAUCCAGCAAUGCCGCGUGAGUGAUGAAGGCCUUAGGGUUGUAAAGCUCUUUUACCCGGGAUGAUAAUGACAGUACCGGGAGAAUAAGCCCCAGCUAACUCCGUG